GCGCGGACCCUCGCGGUGUGCAGCGGGAAGGGGGGCCGUUACACUGUUAGAGAGUGAGUAGCAGGUCUCACAGUGAACCGGUCUCUUUCCCUGCUGUGGCCCUUUCCCCGGAUUUCCU
rnacentral:pre_miRNA from 12 species